UUCAAACUGAAACAUGAUGCCGCCAAAUGGCAUGGUGCAUCUAUUGUCUGCUCUUACCUUUCCUGCUGUGCUCUCUUGUGUGAAGUCAGCAUCACCCCAAGUCCUGAGCACUAUGUUCAUGAGCUUCACUCCAUGCUGUCAGACUCAAGGUAAACUCAUAAUAAACUUCAGUAAUC
rnacentral:lncRNA from 1 species